UUUUUAAUUGAAAUCUUGUAUGAAUGGUUGAACAAGAAAAAAACUGUCUUUGUAUUAAAUUUGAAUUUAACUUUUAAGUGAAAAGGCUUAAAUAUUCUAAAAAGACGAUAAGACCCUAUAAAGUUUUACAUUGUUGUUAAAUUUUAUUAAAUUUAUGUAAUAAAAAUUUAAUUUAAUUAUUUGUUAUGUUGGGGAGACAUAGGUAAAAUUUAUUUUAACUGCUUAAUAAUUAAACAUUAAUUAAUGGUUGGUAAUAGAUCCUUUAUAAAGAUUGUAAGAUUAAGUUACUUUAGGGAUAACAGCGUUAUUUCUUUUGAGAGUCCUUAUCGAAAAAGAAGUUUGCGACCUCGAUGUUGAAUUAAAAUAUCUAUAUAAUGCAGAAGUUAUAUAAGAGAGUCUGUUCGACUUUUAAAUUUUUAC
rnacentral:rRNA from 1 species